rnacentral:rRNA from 1 species
CCUCUUUAAAAGGAUGCAAAAAGAAGUAAAUUAAACUGAAGAGUUUGAUCAUGGCUCAGAUUGAACGCUGGCGGCAUGCCUAACACAUGCAAGUCGAACGGUAACAG